UACGGAGGGCGCGAGCGUUGUUCGGAAUUACUGGGCGUAAAGCGCGCGCAGGCGGGCUGGUAAGUCUGGGGUGAAAUUCCGGGGCUCAACUCCGGAGCUGCUUUGGAUACUGUCUUUCUAGGGACCGGUAGAGGCCGGUGGAAUUCCCGGUGUAGCGGUGGAAUGCGUAGAGAUCCGGAAGAACACCGGAGGCGAAGGCGGCUUGCUGGGCUCGGUCUGACGCUGAGGCGCGAAAGCGUGGGGAGCGAACAGG
rnacentral:rRNA from 1 species